rnacentral:ncRNA from 1 species
UCAAUUACGAUGAUAGGAAGUAGUAGCAAGCACGUUUUUUUUAGAGAGUCAGCGGGUGGUGGAAGCUGAUAAAAGCACUUGUGAAUCCGUCCUUGAGUAGCGAUAUCGAACUAAUAGUAGAUAUUUGCCGGUUGAAAAGCCGUUAUACGAUAGAAGAGGUUUAGGCAUUCGUGUCUAAACAAUUAGGGUGGCAACGCGGGUAGCUCUCGUCCCUUUU